UAUCAUGCGGCGCUCCGCCAGGGGAGUGGACGACGGAAGGAAGUAGAUACCACGCAGACCGGGAAUUGUAGUCCGAUAAAAGCCCACCCUUUUGACUGUUUCUCAGGACAUUAACAACCAGCCUCAAGUAGCGAUGUCCGGUUUCCUGCUUUAUCUACACCGAUGAACACUCUCUGAUAAUUUGGUUUACAUUCUGGGACCGAGGAUUGAAGCCAAGUGGACUACAAAUCCCAGCGUGCUUGUACACGGAGCCCAGAACCGGAGUUGCAGCUCGCCUCCAGCACUGAUUGGCUCUUGUGCAGGCGGUUAAUUGUCAAUCAUCUGUGCAGCGCUCACCCCACGGCUGCCCGCGCCCUAACGGAAAGCGCGGUUUUCAAAUUUUGGCGCGCCUCGACAAACCGCAACGGAUUGAAGGAAUUGUCUCGGGAUUAAUGUGCAGUUUGAGAGGGAGCUCCAGCAUGAUAACAGAAUCUUUCCGUCUGUAACCUACCGUGUACCGUUGAUGUUCAAACAUUGCACACGCCCUGAAACCGCAAGCGUCAACACCUUCAGAUUAGGAAGACUGGAAAAAUUGAGGAGCAAUUUUUUAAAAAGGUGAAGGAUUUCCAAGAGGUGAUACCUGGCUCUAAGCUGAAGAGCUUCAGUCUCUAAUUGGAUUCUACAUGCAGCAGU